UAAGGAAUAUUGGGCAAUGGAGGCAACUCUGACCCAGCCAUGCCGCGUGGAGGAUGAAGGUCCUCUGGAUUGUAAACUUCUUUUAUAUGGGACGAAAAAGGGCCUUUCCAGGUCAACUGACGGUACCAUAUGAAUAAGCACCGGCUAACUCCGUG
rnacentral:rRNA from 1 species